UCCAAAGAAAUGAAUAUUUCUUUUUGGCAACCUCAGGUAGCAGAUAAAACCUACAUGGAAAAAUGGACAAGAAGAAAUGGAAAAUAAGACCCAGAAUCUGGACUGGUCAUUCGUGCCGGCUGGACCAAUGCCUUAAAGGAUGGGGCUUAGGGGGCCUCCCCGGUGGUGCAGCGGUUGAGCGCUGAGCU